rnacentral:rRNA from 1 species
UACGGAGGGUGCAAGCGUUGCUCGGAAUUAUUGGGCGUAAAGGGUAGGUAGGUGGUCUUAUUUGUCUGGGGUGAAAGCCUUGAGCUUAACUCAAGAAGUGCCCCAGAAACGGUGAGACUAGAGUUCUAGAGAGGGUCGUGGAAUUCCCGGUGUAGCGGUGAAAUGCGUAGAGAUCGGGAGGAACACCAGAGGCGAAGGCGGCGACCUGGAUAGAUACUGACACUCAACUACGAAAGCGUGGGGAGCAAACAGGAUUAGAUACCCUGGUAGUCCACGCUGUAAACGAUGGAUACUAGGUUUGGUGGGUCUUGACCCCCGCCGAACCGGAGCUAACGCAAUAAGUAUCCCGCCUGGGAAGUACGGUCGCAAGACUAAA